rnacentral:rRNA from 1 species
UACGUAGGGUGCGAGCGUUGUCCGGAAUUACUGGGCGUAAAGAGCUCGUAGGUGGUUUGUCGCGUUGUUCGUGAAAACCGGGGGCUUAACUGGGGGCGUGCGGGCGAUACGGGCAGACUGGAGUACUGCAGGGGAGACUGGAAUUCCUGGUGUAGCGGUGGAAUGCGCAGAUAUCAGGAGGAACACCGGUGGCGAAGGCGGGUCUCUGGGCAGUAACUGACGCUGAGGAGCGAAAGCGUGGGGAGCGAACAGG